CACACACAACUACACACACACACACACACACACACACACACACACACACACACACACACACACACACACACACACACACACACACACACACACACACACACACACACACACAUCUAUCUACACAUAUACACACAUCCACACACACACACACACACAUCUAUACACACAUAAAACAUUAAAUAAGGAAUGCAAAUGAGGUAUUAUCAAUUAUAAAUACAAACAUAUUUAAAACACAUACAAAUUUCGGGUCCAAUGUUUCCAGAAGCAAGGUGAGUACCUUGUAUCUCUCUGAGAGAUAUCAAUUAGACAUCAAUUAAUAUCUAUAGCAAUACUGAGUUAUCACUUACGAGCUAAUAGAAUGACACAGCUAACUUUGCACGUAAUACUUACGGUUAGAUUCAUGCUUUCACUUACAUUUCAAGGGCCCCAUAAGGGACUUCCAUUGGAACAAUUAAAAAUAGAAUCAAAGGAAAUAUGUUUUUGAACAACUAACUGCUGUACAUGAGUUUGUAUUUCUACAAUAGAAACGCAAAGUUCCAGAGCCAAAUGCAGACACACCCGGAGCCUACAAAACUACGUCCGCCAAGCAAGGAGUAACAGUCACAUGAUGCAAUAGUGGCAGGGAGUUCCGGCGCUGGAAGGAUUAUAGUGCCUCAGAUUAGAGUUAGCGGAGAACUCUGGAAUUAAUAACCCCUUCUCAGGACGGAUGGAGAGCCUGUGAGCAGUGAGUGCUCAAGGAGCACCAGGUGUCAUCCAAGAGUACAUGGAGAUCCAGUUCAACCUGUGAACACAAAUGAGGAUCCAAAGGAGGCGCGACCCGAUCGCCACUGGACGGUUGGGGACAUAUGCCCUUGCCAAGGAGGGACGAACAUUGGACUGUGAUGUCUCAAACACCAGGUGGAGGCUCACGAAAUGUGCUAGUAACCUCUUCAUGUGAGCCGGCCUCGUGAUCUACAAGGCUUGAUUUCAGCCAACAGGAGCAACAUCUAUGACCUUGUCCAAAACCCCCCACCUGUAUCCUGCGCACCAAUACAUGAAGAUCACCUGAGCCAUUCAGGUCCGUGCAAACCUACAGGCAAAUUCAAGAUUUCAAAUGCUGAAAUGUCCAUGUUUGGGUACAUUAUCAUGACGCAUAUUUUUGAAAUUAUUAGUUUUUAGUUUAUUAUUAUGUCACAUAUUUUGGAGAAUGGUGAUUUUCAAUGCAUGCUGAAAACAUAUUGUUAUGAUUUUUAUGA
ensembl:lncRNA